UUCUGGUUCUGUCGCUCUUCAGGUAUUCCUGAUUUUUAGUUUUAUCUUGUAUACAAGAACUCAAGAUUGAACUUUGGAUUUUUAUUUGAUUUAUUAUUUGGAGUUAUCCUUCUAACUGCAUACUAUUGAUAUAGGAUUCAUUUUAAAAGAUUUUGAGAUAGUGAAUUUUUCAAAUUUGAUUAAAAAUAUUCUUCAAAUAAGGAAUGAAAUAGUCUGUUAACUAUCUUGGCAUCAAAGAGUUGCACUCUUUGUUGAAGACUAAAGAUGACUAGUCACAAUUUGAACUGCCAUGGCUUGACUAGGGACUAUAAUUUAGUUGAUUGAUAGAGAGCUUGAAUUAUGUUGUUUUAAGAUAUUCAAAGAUGCAUUGCGCUGGAAAAUUACAGGUUGUGUGUGGCCAAGACCUA
rnacentral:misc_RNA from 1 species